UACGGUCUAUGGACAGGGUAUUUAUGGGUAAAAUAUCAACAUUUUGUCCCGUAAAUUGGAACAAGUUAAAAAAUUCGUAUCACUAUGAAAUUAUGUAGACAAGCAGGGGACAACAUAUAUUUUACGACGCGAAGUCUGCAAAUUUCACGAAGGGUUCGAGGGAUACAUGCGGCCAGAGCAAAAUGUACGUUUUCAACGAUUUUCUCAAGUUUUAUUAUACUUUAUUAUACGCCGAUGUACUAUGAAGUGAACUUGAAUAAUGGAACAACUUAUAGGUAAGAUUUCGAUGCGAAACUUCUCUGUUUUAUGGUCCAGAUAUAAUUUAUAAUAUUGCAAAGUCUGCAAAUGACAUAGCUAUUAUCAAACACGUUUAAAUUGAAAAAAACCGCGCCACUCCUAAUGAUUUAUAUAUAACAAAUCCGCCAUUUUGUUUGUGAAAGUUCGCACAUGCUCAGAAUCCAUGUCCGCAAUUUCUGGCCAUGAUAG